CCGCUUGGUGUCAGAUUGGACUGUACCACUGCAUGUCUGAUUGGACUGUGCCACUGGGUGUCUGAUUGGACCGUGUACCACUAGGUGUCUGAUUGGACUGUACCACUAGGUGUCUGAUUGGACUGUACCACUGGGUGUCUGAUUGGACUGUGCCACUAGGUGUCUGAUUGGGCCGUGUCACUGGGUGUCUGAUUGGGCUGUGUCACUAGGUGUCUGAUUGGACUGUGCCACCAGGUGUCUGAUUGGACUGUGUCACUAGGUGUCUGAUUGGACUGUGCCACUGGGUGUCUGAUUGGACUGUACCACUGGGUGUCAGAUUGGACUGUACCACUGGGUGUCUGAUUGGACUGUGUCACUGGGUGUCAGAUUGGACUGUACCACUAGGUGUCUGAUUGGACUGUACCACUGGGUGUCUGAUUGGACUGUACCACUAGGUGUCUGAUUGGGCCGUGUCACUGGGUGUCUGAUUGGACUGUGUCACUGGGUGUCUGAUUGGGCCGUGUCACUGGGUGUCUGAUUGGACUGUGUCACUGGGUGUCUGAUUGGGCCGUGUCACUGGGUGUCUGAUUGGGCCGUGUCACUGGGUGUCUGAUUGGGCCGUGUCACUGGGUGUCUGAUUGGACUGUACCACUGGGUGUCUGAUUGGACUGUGUCACUGGGUGUCUGAUUGGACUGUACCACUGGGUGUCUGAUUGGACUGUGCCACUGGGUGUCUGAUAGGACUGUACCACUGGGUGUCUGAUAGGACUGUGUCACUGGGUGUCUGAUUGGACUGUACCACUAGGUGUCUGAUUGGACUGUGCCACUGGGUGUCUGAUAGGACUGUGUCACUGGGUGUCUGAUUGGGCUGUGUCACUGGGUGUCUGAUUGGACCGUGUCACUGGGUGUCUGAUUGAACUUGGCCACUUGAUGUCUGAUAGGACUGUGCCACUGGUUGAUUGGACUGGGUCAAACAUCUCUAUAUCAUGUUAAAGGGAUUUAUUUUUGUACGAGGUUGAUAACUAGUGCUGUUUAACAGCAUGGUUUUGUAGAGUUCCAGAUGCUGUGAUGACACCUUGUAAAUAACCAUUUCUAAUGCAACAUAAUAAAUUUAAUUAUAUGAUCAUGUUGAUUGAUA